rnacentral:rRNA from 1 species
GUGGGGAAUCUUAGACAAUGGGCGCAAGCCUGAUCUAGCCAUGCCGCGUGAGCGAUGAAGGCCUUAGGGUUGUAAAGCUCUUUCAGGGGGGAAGAUAAUGACGGUACCCCCAGAAGAAGCCCCGGCUAACUUCGUGCCAGCAGCCGCGGUAAUACGGAGGGGGCUAGCGUUGUUCGGAAUUACUGGGCGUAAAGCGCACGUAGGCGGACCAGAAAGUCAGGGGUGAAAUCCCGGGGCUCAACCCCGGAACUGCCUUUGAAACUCCUGGUCUUGAGGUCGAGAGAGGUGAGUGGAAUUCCGAGUGUAGAGGUGAAAUUCGUAGAUAUUCGGAGGAACACCAGUGGCGAAGGCGGCUCACUGGCUCGAUACUGACGCUGAGGUGCGAAAGCGUGGGGAGCAAACAGGAUUAGAAACCCCUGUAGUCC